AUUGAACGCUGGCGGCAUGCUUUACACAUGCAAGUCGAGCGGCAGCGCGGGGGCAACCCUGGCGGCGAGCGGCGAACGGGUGAGUAAUGCAUCGGAACGUAUCCUCGAGUGGGGGAUAACCCAGCGAAAGUUGGGCUAAUACCGCAUGAGCUCUGAGGAGGAAAGCGGGGGACCUGCGAGGGCUUCGCGCUGGGGGGGCGGCCGAGGUCCGAUUGGCUGGUGGGUGGGGUAAAGGCUUACCACGCCGACGAUCGGAACCGGGGUUCAGCGGAUGAUCCGCCACACUGGGACUGAGACACGGCCCAGACUCCUACGGGAGGCAGCAGUGGGGAAUUUUGGACAAUGGGGGCAACCCUGAUCCAGCCAUGCCGCGUGAGUGAAGAAGGCCUUCGGGUUGUAAAGCUCUUUCGGACGGAACGAAAUGGGCGGGACUAAUACUCCUGUCUGAUGACGGUACCGUAAGAAGAAGCACCGGCUAACUACGUG
rnacentral:rRNA from 1 species